AUGAACGUCUGUCUCCUUUUCUUAGGAUGGCUGUAGAAUCGUAUAUGGGUACUUGGCUUUUUCAUGUGCCUUGCCGCACUCCACCUUUCGCUCACCGACGAAACAAUUCCUUUGCCACGUUUAGCUUGUCUUCAUCCUCAUUUCUUGUCACGCAGCCGUCAUCUUGAAACAAGCAGAACAUGUGGGUUCUGCAUUGGAAGCCACCGACCAAGAAUUUUCUGCAAUAAUCGUUUGCUUAGGAUCCUGUGUCGACAUGUGCACUGAAUUGCUGCAUAUAUAUUCUCUGAGUGCGUGCUGAAACAAUGCUUGUAUUCACUCCAUGUAAGUCUCGAGAGUUUGUGCUUCAUACCAUCCAAAAUUUCCUGGAGAACAAGUCCGUCUGGCCUGAAAAAAACUUGACAAAUUGGGUAGGACGAAACGCAUGCCAUUACAGCUUGUGGUGGUUUUUCGGGAAGAUGAUAAGUCGGCAGAAUUUAUACUGGGGAAAAGUAGGAGACAGAUGGUGAAUACGGCCGGGUGGGUAGUGUACAUCCUCAUCGCGGUUUAAACCAAUGCGACAGCACAUGUAAUAAGGCUUGCUAAAACAGCUUCAACUAUUCAACAACUCUGCGGAUCAUGCAGUUUUUGCGUCUCGAGCAUUCGUGUUAGGAUGUCAUCAGCAUCCAGAAAGGCCUACUCUACUUACAUUGAAUCUUCAUCACCGGCGCUGGCCAGAGUACUGGAAGAGAUUGGAUCUUUCUUUAGUUUGGUAUAGUGGUAUAUGGAAUCUAUAGCAGAGAUGUUGUUGUUGUUGGUAAGUAACUACUCCUGUGAUAAUCUGAUUGCUUAAGGUCUCAUAAAUAAACCUGCUUCGAUGGUUUUCUCUCUCGAUAA